AUACACAGCGAUACCAAGCCACCAUUUAACUGGCGCUUACUGCACACUUUUACGCUGCUGUGAGAACAUGGAAGAUGUAACGUAGCGUUUAAUAUACGAACCAAGGACUAAAAACAACAACCCACAUGGGAUUACACCUAACACGUAAACAGGCACUAUACCGGAUUCCGAGGACGCAGAACACUCGUGUGGGCUGCAUCCACGUGAUUCUAGGGGAUGCAUAUUCCCAAAUUAAAGAGUCUUAUCAAUGUCGAUACUAGUAACCGUGCUUGAGUGAUGUCUAUGCAGCCCCAUGUAAAGCGGGAAAGCCAGAGGAAGUUGUUCCGGUGACCUAAUAUUACGUCACCGAACUAGUAGGGAUGACGACACACGCUGAGCAUCCUGCAAUACAGUUCCGUUCAUGUGCAACGUCAUCAAUGACAUCAUUGCAAACGUUUCUCGGGCAGGUGACAGACCGAACGUGUAAGGCGGAAUACGGCGAGGCAUUAUGUCAUACGACUUUCGAAAGGAAAAGGAAAAAAUCUGCACACACGUCAAACAUUACUUUAUUUCUAUAAUUAUUCUGUUUUUGGACAUUGUCCAUCGUCUUGCCUUUAUUCAAAACCGACUUGCUUAUUUUUCAAAACACGACGUUUCCGAAACCAGAUUCUGUUUCCGUCUUCAGUUGGGCCCAAACGAUAGAGCUAGUCCCUAUCUCAGUCUCCCUGUGCCAGCUGCAAGAUGGGGUACAUAAGCCAAACACAGCACAAACCAUCUGCGAGAGCUAAGAAAACAUCAAAUUAUCAAAACUCCACACGUAUGAGGCCUUUCACUAGAUAAGUAUCUCGACUGAGACCAUCACUGGAGAGAAGCAAUACUCUUUAUGGUAGGAAUACAAGAAAGACGGCGUUUCCCAUUCAAACUACACCUGACGCAGUGAUUUUUUGAAGACAAGACGAUGGAUAAUGUCCAAAAACAUAAUAUCUGUACUAAUGUACCGCCGUCGCGAACUUUUAGAACUUAAAUUACUUUAUUUUUUCUCAGCAUCUCUCAAACAAUGGGCCUACUUCAGCUGAUUCUUAUUACACAAAAUAUCAGUGACUAUCGAGUCAUUCCACUUGAUUCCUUGGAAGUAACAGAGUAUGAGUAUGAGGGGUGAGCUAUAAAACUACUAACAACUUCACCUAAUUGUUCUUAAUAAUCUAGAUUUCACUAUUUACACACACAUGCUUUCCCAUAAACCGAAUGGAAGUAAUUAUUUAUUUACCAUAACUUGAAAGGAGAUAAGGUAUUUACUAUAGGAUUCUGACGAUGGUGUAUAACACACAGAGAUAUUGGGUUUUCGGACU